AACACUGUUAACCUGCGGUACCUGCGGAGGGAUCAUUACCGAGUGAGGGCCCUCUGGGUCCAACCUCCCACCCGUGUUUAUCGUACCUUGUUGCUUCGGCGGGCCCGCCGCAAGGCCGCCGGGGGGCUCCCGUCCCCGGGCCCGCGCCCGCCGAAGACACCUGUGAACGCUGUAUGAAGAUUGCAGUCUGAGCGAAAAGCUAAAUUUAUUAAAACUUUUAACAACGGAUCUCAGAUCGGA
rnacentral:misc_RNA from 1 species